GACGAACGCUGGCGGCGUGCUUAACACAUGCAAGUCGAACGAAGUGGCGAACGGGUGAGUAACGCGUAAUCAACCUGCCCUUCAGAGGGGGACAACAGUUGGCAACGACUGCUACUACCUCAUACUGAAGGAGGGGAUUGCGUCUGAUUCGCUAGUUGGCGGGGUAACGGCCCACCAAGGGGAUGAUCAGUAGCCGGUCCGGGAGGAUGAACGGCCACAUUGGGACUGAGACACGGCCCAGACUCCUACGGGGGGCAGCAGUGGGGAAUCUUCCGCAAUGGACGAAAGUCUGACGGAGCAACGCCGCGUUAGGGAUGACGGCCUUCGGGUUGUAAAGCUCUGUUAAUCGGGACGCGGUACCGGAAUAGAAAGCCACGGCUAACUACGUGCCAGCAGCCGCGGUAAUUC
rnacentral:rRNA from 1 species